GCGGCAUCCAAAACUAUUCAAUUUCACAAGAUUUUGCAUAGCUUUCAUGCUCACUUUCUUCUUCCUGGGGACGUAAAUAUUCCGAUCAUAUAUCAAGUUGACCGACUAAGUGAUGUGCCUAAUAUUGCUACAAGAAGGGUGAAUGCAUUACAAAAAGAGCGUGUUGUCUUCUUUUUGAUUGCUUCCUUUCAUAGGGAAGAAGAAGAA